rnacentral:rRNA from 1 species
UCGGGUGGCCAUAGCGAGGAGGCCACACCCGUUCUCAUCCCGAACACGGCAGUUAAGCUCCUCAGCCCCGAUGGUACUGCGUUGGCAACGGCGUGGGAGAGUAGGACGCUGCCCGAU